rnacentral:rRNA from 1 species
GUUGAACGCUGGCGGCAUGCCUUACACAUGCAAGUCGAACGGCAGCACGGGAGCAAUCCUGGUGGCGAGUGGCGAACGGGUGAGCAAUAUAUCGGAACGUGCCCAGUAGUGGGGGAUAACUGCUCGAAAGAGCAGCUAAUACCGCAUACGACCUGAGGGUGAAAGGGGGGGAUCGCAAGACCUCUCGCUAUUGGAGCGGCCGAUAUCAGAUUAGCUAGUUGGUGGGGUAAAGGCCUACCAAGGCAACGAUCUGUAGUUGGUCAGAGAGGACGACCAGCCACACUGGGACUGAGACACGGCCCAGACUCCUACGGGAGGCAGCAGUGGGGAAUUUUGGACAAUGGGCGCAAGCCUGAUCCAGCAAUGCCGCGUGCAGGAAGAUGGCCUUCGGGUUGUAAACUGCUUUUGUCAGGGAAGAAAUCCUCUAGGUUAAUACCCUUGGGGGGAUGACGGUACCUGAAGAAUAAGCACCGGCUAACUACGUGCCAGCAGCCGCGGUAAAAC